rnacentral:rRNA from 1 species
CAGGGAAUCUUCGGCAAUGGACGAAAGCCUGACCGAGCAACGCCGCGUGAGUGAAGAAGGUUUUCGGAUCGUAAAACUCUGUUGUUAGAGAAGAACAAGGACGUUAGUAACUGAACGUCCCCUGACGGUAUCUAACCAGAAAGCCACGGCUAACUACGUGCCAGCAGCCGCGGUAAUACGUAGGUGGCAAGCGUUGUCCGGAUUUAUUGGGCGUAAAGCGAGCGCAGGCGGUUUCUUAAGUCUGAUGUGAAAGCCCCCGGCUCAACCGGGGAGGGUCAUUGGAAACUGGGAGACUUGAGUGCAGAAGAGGAGAGUGGAAUUCCAUGUGUAGCGGUGAAAUGCGUAGAUAUAUGGAGGAACACCAGUGGCGAAGGCGGCUCUCUGGUCUGUAACUGACGCUGAGGCUCGAAAGCGUGGGGAGCAAACAGG